GUGGGUCGGUGUGACUCGGUGUGGCUUGGUGUGACUCGGUGUGACUCGGUGUGGCUUGGUGUGACUCGGUGUGACUCGGUGUGGCUCGGUGUGACUCGGUGUGGGUCGGUGUGACUCGGUGUGGCUCGGUGUGACUCGGUGUGACUCGGGGUGGCUCGGGGUGGCUCGGGGUGACUCGGUGUGGGUCGGUGUGACUCGGUGUGGCUUGGUGUGGGUCGGUGUGACUUGGUGUGGGUCGGUGUGACUCGGUGUGGCUUGGUGUGGGUCGGUGUGGCUUGGUGUGGGUUGGUGUGACUCGGUGUGGGUCGGUGUGAUUCGGUGUGGGUCGGUGUGACUUGGUGUGGCUUGGUGUGACUCGGUGUGGCUUGGUGUGGGUCGGUGUGACUCGGUGUGGGUCGGUGUGACUCGGUGUGGGUCGGUGUGACUUGGUGUGACUCGGUGUGGGUCGGUGUGACUCGGUGUGGCUUGGUGUGGGUCGGUGUGACUCGGUGUGGGUCGGUGUGACUUGGUGUGGCUUGGUGUGGCUUGGUGUGGCUUGGUGUGGCUUGGUGUGGGUCGGUGUGACUCGGUGUGACUUGGCGUGGGUCGGUGUGGGUUGGUGUGACUUGGCGUGGGUCGGUGUGGGUCGGUGUGACUCGGUGUGGGUCUGUGUGACUUGGUGUGACUUGGUGUGGGUCGGUGUGACUCGGUGUGACUUGGCGUGGGUCGGUGUGGGUCGGUGUGACUCGGUGUGGGUCUGUGUGACUUGGUGUGACUUGGUGUGGGUCGGUGUGACUUGGCGUGGGUCGGUGUGGCUUGGUGUGGCUCGGUGUGGGUCGGUGUGGCUCGGUGUGGCUCGCUAUGGGUCGGUGUGGAUCGGUGUGGGUCUGUGUGGGUCAGUGUGGGUCAGUGUGGGUCUGUGUGGGUCAGACAGAAUCGAUCCUGUGGAUAAUCAGCUCCUCUUUUUGGAAUAAUUUGACAUUGAUUGUGUUCGGGCCGUACAGUAUUUUCCGAAAGAGCAGGUCAAGGCAAGGGCAACUUAUCGACCAGCACUGCUGUGUGUGACAUCAACUGACACACCAUAUUCUGCACUUAUUCCAAAUCCCCAGAUACUCUCAUCCCCUCAUCCCUAUAUCCCCACAUCCCCACAUCCUAUCAUCCCCUCAUCCCUAUAUCCCCACAUCAACUCAUUCCCUCAUCCCCUCAUCCCACAUUCCCUCAUCCCCUCAUCCCUAUAUCCCCACAUCAACUCAUUCCCUCAUCCCCUCAUCCCCACAUUCCCUCAUCCACUCAUCCAUAUAUCCCCACAUCCUCUCAUCCCCUCAUCCCCACAUUCCCUCAUC
ensembl:lncRNA